rnacentral:rRNA from 1 species
GAUGAACGCUGGCGGCGUGCUUAACACAUGCAAGUCGAACGGAAAGGCUCCUGCUUGCAGGGGUACUCGAGUGGCGAACGGGUGAGUAACACGUGGGUGAUCUGCCCUGCACUUCGGGAUAAGCCUGGGAAACUGGGUCUAAUACCGGAUAGGACGAUGGUUUGGAUGCCAUUGUGGAAAGUUUUUUCGGUGUGGGAUGAGCUCGCGGCCUAUCAGCUUGUUGGUAGGGUAAUGGCCUACCAAGGCGUCGACGGGUAGCCGGCCUGAGAGGGUGUACGGCCACAUUGGGACUGAGAUACGGCCCAGACUCCUACGGGAGGCAGCAGUGGGGAAUAUUGCACAAUGGGCGUAAGCCUGAUGCAGCGACGCCGCGUGGGGGAUGACGGCCUUCGGGUUGUAAACUCCUUUCGCUAGGGACGAAGCGCAAGUGACGGUACCUGGAGAAGAAGCACCGGCUAACUACGUG